GACGAACGCUGGCGGCGUGCUUAACACAUGCAAGUCGAACGGUGAUGCUCCAGCUUGCUGGUGUGGAUCAGUGGCGAACGGGUGAGUAACACGUGAGAAACCUGCCCCAGACUCUGGAAUAAGCGCUGGAAACGGCGUCUAAUACUGGAUACGAAACUGGCCCGCAUGGGCAUGGUUUGGAAAGUUUUUCGGUUUGGGAUGGGCUCGCGGCCUAUCAGCUUGUUGGUGAGGUAAUGGCUCACCAAGGCGACGACGGGUAGCCGGCCUGAGAGGGCGACCGGCCACACUGGGACUGAGACACGGCCCAGACUCCUACGGGAGGCAGCAGUGGGGAAUAUUGCACAAUGGGCGAAAGCCUGAUGCAGCGACGCCGCGUGAGGGAUGACGGCCUUCGGGUUGUAAACCUCUUUCAGCAGGGAAGAAGCGAAAGUGACGGUACCUGCAGAAGAAGCACCGGCUAACUACGUG
rnacentral:rRNA from 1 species